CAAAAGUCUUUAGUGAAAGCGAAAUUUGGCCAGAUGGGUAUAAUGAUGGGGGGUAGUGGUUUGUAUUCCAGAAGCCAGGGAGGUUGAAAGUUAGAGCAUUCAUUAGAAAGAUAGUAUUCUCAGUGAAACUCUCCCCUUGGAUAGGUUGGAAGCUGACGGCAUUUUAAGGAGAGGGGAUUGGAGCAGAUCCCUACUCAUUCAUCCACAAAUGGCUAGAAUUUAAAGGACUUCUUGAAGCUCUAGUCAGAAGGAGGGGAGGGAGGAUGGAGGCUAUACCGUAUCCUACUUACUCCUGAGACCUUUUUAACAGUCACACUCCGAAUCUCUACUCGGAGGGAUACCUCUUGGUGAAUUUUCUUUUUGAUGGAGAAAUAAAAGAAGUGGGGAACCUUCUGCUGAGAAGCUCUGAGCAGCCAGCAGUCACUGGAAACCUGAGGACGAUUGUUGCUGUCUGAGAAGCAGGCAACCACCACAAUGCUCAAGAACAAAGUAAAAUAAACAAAACAGGAAACUGGGCCGUAUGUAAAGGAACCAGAUGGGAAUUUGCCAAAUGGCCCCUAAUGGGAAACCUACAGAAGUCAGAACUGUUUUCAGGAGAGCUUACAAAGUGAGAGGCUGGUUUUGGACAAAUAUGGAGGCCUGAAGAUUACAUCUGUGUUACCUAAUGUGAAAGCUGGAACAGGCCUUAGAGAUCAUCUGGUUCAACCACUUUAUUUUACAGAUUAGAAAAUUGAGACCUAGAGAGGGAAAGUGACUUGUUGAAAGUCACAUAGCUAGAAAGUGAUAGAGUCUGAACUCAAACCCAGUGCUUAUGAUUCCAAAUUCUAUGAGUCCCAUCUCAGCUCUCUCAUUGGCUAGCUACGGAACUUUCAGCAACUCCCUUCUCCUUUCUGGGCCUCAGUUUCCUCAUUUGUGAAAUAAGAGAGGCAAACCAGGUGAUCUCCAAGGUUCCUUUGAGUUGUAACUAACCAUGGCUCUAUAACUAUGGGGAAUGGAAGGAAGAAGGAAACAAACAUUUGUCAAGCUUAUCUGUUAAAUGCCAGAUAUGUUCUGUCUACCAAUGAAUACCACAAUGAAAAAAUGUACAAGCAAAGCCUCAAAGAAAAUGCAGAUUACACAUAAACCCAACAAGAAUUCCUAGAAGAGCUAAAGAAAGAGAUUUUAAAAAGACAGCAAAACAACAAAAAAAAUUUAAAUCAAAUAAGAGUUGCAGAGGAGAAAUUGGGAAAAGAUAUGAGAACAAUAUAAGAAAAUUAUGAAAAGAGUACUAAUGGAUUGGUAAUAGAAACAAAAAAUAUUGAAGAAAA